UACGAAGGGUGCAAGCGUUACUCGGAAUUACUGGGCGUAAAGCGUGCGUAGGCGGUUUGUUAAGUCCGUUGUGAAAGCCCUGGGCUCAACCUGGGAAUUGCAGUGGAUACUGGCGAGCUAGAGUGCGGUAGAGGAUGGUGGAAUUCCCGGUGUAGCAGUGAAAUGCGUAGAGAUCGGGAGGAACAUCUGUGGCGAAGGCGGCCAUCUGGACCAGCACUGACACUGAGGCACGAAAGCGUGGGGAGCAAACAGG
rnacentral:rRNA from 1 species